GAUCCCUAACAUAGAAUACAUAAAGAGUUGUGGGGUUAGUUACUCACAGAUCGUUAAAUUUUUGUUUACCUUUCCACGUUUGUUUCUUAUCAAGCCAGAUAACAUGAAGGAUUUUGUUAGAAGGGUCGAUGAGAUGGGUGUUGAUAGGAAAUCUAAGGUGUUUCUUCCUGCUAUUAGGGUGAUGAGUUCCAUAACUGAAGAGAAUUGGGAUCACAAGCUGAAACUAUUGAGGGAACUGGGAUUUUCAGAGGAGAAUAUUUUGUCUGUUUUUAGGAGGGUACCUCAAGCACUCGGAGUAUUUGAGAGGAAGAUUAAGGAAGUAAUUCAGUUGUUGCGAAGUGUUGAGAACAGGGACAUCUCUUGUAUUAUUUGCCACCCGGAGUUGCUUGUAUGCAGUGUUAACCAGAGGCUAAAGCCCCGACUAGAGGUUAUUAAGGUCCUGGAAAUUGCUCAAGAAAAAACCUAGUCUGUCUGCAACUUGUAAGAUUACUAAUGCACAGUUCUUGCGCAAAUAUGUAAUUCCUUAUUCAAAUGAAGUUGGGGACUUGUAUAUGGCUAAUCACGGCUCAUAGCCAAGAGAAUCUGUAUUACUGGUUGUCUUGAUCAUUCAAAGGAAGGUGUUGUUACAUAUCUAACUAUAUGAUUUAUGAUAAUUUUGGGGAAUUCA
rnacentral:misc_RNA from 1 species